AUCUGUUCUCAGCUUUUAUGGUGUGAUCACCUAUAGUAUCUUUCAUUCCCAGUUUAAUAUCUCCUACGUCCCCUAUCUGGGCACCGUAUAUCUAAUGGAUUUUUAGGACAGGGAGUGUGGAAAAGAGCUUGUUUGUCCACUCCACGCAUUGACCUACUCUACUGUGGAUCGCCGGUGUAUAUGAC